AGAAGUUUAGGUUAAGCCAGACCGAGAGCCUUCAAAGCUCUAAGCAAGCCUCACAGACUUAACUUCUG
rnacentral:tRNA from 4 species